rnacentral:rRNA from 1 species
CCUACGGGAGGCAGCAGUGAGGAAUAUUGGACAAUGGGCGCAAGCCUGAUCCAGCCAUGCCGCGUGCAGGAAGACGGUCCUAUGGAUUGUAAACUGCUUUUGUACAGGAAGAAACACUCCCUCGUGAGGGAGCUUGACGGUACUGUAAGAAUAAGGAUCGGCUAACUCCGUGCCAGCAGCCGCGGUAAUACGGAGGAUCCAAGCGUUAUCCGGAAUCAUUGGGUUUAAAGGGUCCGUAGGCGGUUUAAUAAGUCAGUGGUGAAAUCUGGUCGCUCAACGAUCAAACGGCCAUUGAUACUGUUAGACUUGAAUUAUUAGGAAGUAACUAGAAUAUGUAGUGUAGCGGUGAAAUGCUUAGAUAUUACAUGGAAUACCAAUUGCGAAGGCAGGUUACUACUAAUGGAUUGACGCUGAUGGACGAAAGCGUGGGGAGCGAACAGGAUUAGAUACCCUGGUAGUCCACGCCGUAAACGAUGGAUACUAGCUGUUCGGAGCAAUCUGAGUGGCUAAGCGAAAGUGAUAAGUAUCCCACCUGGGGAGUACGUUCGCAAGAAUGAAACUCAAAUGAAUUGACGG